rnacentral:rRNA from 1 species
UGGGGAAUAUUGCACAAUGGGCGCAAGCCUGAUGCAGCCAUGCCGCGUGUGUGAAGAAGGCCUUCGGGUUGUAAAGCACUUUCAGCGGGGAGGAAGGCGAUAAGGUUAAUAACCUUGUCGAUUGACGUUACCCGCAGAAGAAGCACCGGCUAACUCCGUGCCAGCAGCCGCGGUAAUACGGAGGGUGCAAGCGUUAAUCGGAAUUACUGGGCGUAAAGCGCACGCAGGCGGUCUGUCAAGUCGGAUGUGAAAUCCCCGGGCUCAACCUGGGAACUGCAUUCGAAACUGGCAGGCUAGAGUCUUGUAGAGGGGGGUAGAAUUCCAGGUGGAGCGGUGAAAUGCGUAGAGAUCUGGAGGAAUACCGGUGGCGAAGGCGGCCCCCUGGACAAAGACUGACGCUCAGGUGCGAAAGCGUGGGGAGCAAACAGG